CACGUCUCGUACGUCGGAGGACAUU
rnacentral:rRNA from 1 species